AUACGUAGGGAGCGAGCGUUGUCCGGAAUUACUGGGUGUAAAGGGAGCGUAGGCGGGAGUGCAAGUCAGAUGUGAAAUACAUGGGCUCAACCCAUGGGCUGCAUUUGAAACUGCAUUUCUUGAGUGAAGUAGAGGUAAGCGGAAUUCCUGGUUUAGCGGUGAAAUGCGUAGAUAUCAGGAGGAACACCGGUGGCGAAGGCGGCUUACUGGGCUUUUACUGACUCUGAGGCUCGAAAGCGUGGGGAGCAAACAGGAUUAGAUACCCUGGUAGUCCACGCUGUAAACGAUGAUUACUAGGUGUGGGGGGACUGACCCCUUCCGUGCCGCAGUUAACACAAUAAGUAAUCCACCUGGGGAGUACGGCCGCAAGGUUGAAACUCAAAGUAAUUGACGGGG
rnacentral:rRNA from 1 species